rnacentral:rRNA from 1 species
AACGCUGGCGGCGUGCUUAACACAUGCAAGUCGAACGAGAAGAGAUGAGAAGCUUGCUUCUUAUCAAUUCGAGUGGCAAACGGGUGAGUAACGCGUAAGCAACCUGCCCUUCAGAUGGGGACAACAGCUGGAAACGGCUGCUAAUACCGAAUACGUUCUUUUUGUCGCAUGGCAGAGGGAGAAAGGGAGGCUCUUCGGAGCUUUCGCUGAAGGAGGGGCUUGCGUCUGAUUAGCUAGUUGGAGGGGUAACGGGCCCACCAAGGCGACGAUCAGUAGCCGACCUGAGAGGGUGACCGGCCACAUUGGGACUGAGAUACGGCCCAGACUCCUACGGGAGGCAGCAGUGGGGAAUAUUGGGCAAUGGGCGCAAGCCUGACCCAGCAACGCCGCGUGAAGGAAGAAGGCUUUCGGGUUGUAAACUUCUUUUAUGAGGGACGAAGAAGUGACGGUACCUCAUGAAUAAGCCACGGCUAACUACGUG